rnacentral:rRNA from 1 species
GACGAACGCUGGCGGCGGGCUUAACACAUGCAAGUCGAACGGAAAGGCCCUGCUUUUGUGGGGUGCUCGAGUGGCGAACGGGUGCGUAACACGUGAGUAACCUGCCCUUGACUUUGGGAUAACUUCAGGAAACUGGGGCUACUACCGGAUAGGAGCUCCUGCUGCAUGGAGGGGGUUGGAAAUUUGCGGCGGGUGGGGAUGGAUGCGCGGGUUACCAGCUUGUUGGUGGGGGAGUGGCUUACCAACGAUUUGGCGGGUCGGCGGCCUGAGAGGGUGACCGGGCACAUGGGGCCUGAGAUAGGCCGCAGUGUCGUAUGGUAGGCAGCAGGCGCGAAUAUUGUCCAGUGAGAGGAAGCCGGAGGAAGCGACGCCGCGUGUGGGAUGACGGCCUUCGGGUUGAAAACCGCUUUCGGCUGUGACGAAGCGUGAGUGACGGUAAUGGGUAAAGAAGCACCGGCUAACUACGUG